rnacentral:misc_RNA from 1 species
GAACACUGUGGGACACUAUGCCGACCCGCUGACUUUCUCGGUCAACGGGCCGUUUCCGUGAGGAAAGUCUGGGGAACUAGGCUUGCAGCUGCUGUCACAAGAAAUCAACGCUCACAGUAGCGGAUGGGAAGACAGCAGAGUUCCAUUUAGCUUGAACACAACGUUGAUUGUUUAAGGCUUGUUGAGUGCAAUCGUAGGACAAGAA